rnacentral:tRNA from 1 species
GAGGGUAUACUUCAGUGGUAGAGUACAUUCUUAGCAUGCCCAAGGUCCUGGGUUCAAUUCCCAGUACCUGCA